UGGUACUUAGUUUAAUGGUAAAACCUCAGACUCCAAAUCUGAAAGAUGAGUGUUCGAGUCAUUCAGUACCUGCUAUA
rnacentral:tRNA from 1 species